rnacentral:rRNA from 1 species
CAAUUAUUAAUAGUUAUGUUCUUUAAAAUUAAAAAUUUUGGCGGUAUUUUAGUCUUUUCAGAGGAACCUGUUUUUUGAUUGAUAGUCCACGAUAAAUUUUACUUUAAUUUUUAAUUUAUAUAUCGUCGUUAAUAAGGAUUUUAUUAGAAUUUUAAUUUUUGAUUUUUUUUAUUAAAAAUUAGUUCAGAUCAAGGUGUAGUUUAUAUUAAAGUUAAAAUGGGUUACAUUAGAUUUAUUUUUGGUUUUGAUUUUGAAAAUUUUAAAUAAAUUGGAUUUGAAAGUAAUGAUUAUAUUUUUGUAUUAUGAUUAAGCUCUAAAAUAUGCACACAUCGCC